rnacentral:lncRNA from 1 species
CUGGGUGGCAUCUUCUCCCAUGAGUCUUAUCAAAGUCAAGAGGAUCCUCCACAGAGCCAAUUGCUGCCUCUGCAAGGAAAGGGGCUUUUCUCGGCUUGCUGUCCCAUUAGAUCUGGAUGUGAUAACAAACUACAGCCUAGGCAUUGGGUAUUUGGCUUGCAUCUCUGCAUCUUCCUGCUUGUAAGUAUUUUAUUCCUUUUUUUUUUUUUGCUUGCUUUUCACUAACUUUUAAGGAACAGAUUCAAUUGACAGGUUCUGGGUCUGAUCCUAGGUCAGGAUAUCUUUGCUUUAUGCUGAUAUAAAUAACCGUAUAGUGUGCAGAUCAAUGGAAAAUGUAAGUGACAGAGGCAUUUGACUCUAUUUGGAUUGAGCUAAGUUAUGUACAUGGCUCUGAGAGUUUCCUAUUCCCAGUCCCAUAGAAAACCCCAAACAAAAUAUAACUUGAUUUUAACCUGCAACAAAACCAUCUGGGCACUUGUCUUGUUAGAUUUUAAAAGUCAUAAAUUGAAAUCAUAUUAGAUCAUAAUAAACAAUGAAAUUAGAUCA